rnacentral:rRNA from 1 species
UAGGGAAUCUUCGGCAAUGGGGGCAACCCUGACCGAGCAACGCCGCGUGAGUGAAGAAGGUUUUCGGAUCGUAAAGCUCUGUUGUAAGUCAAGAACGGGUGUGAGAGUGGAAAGUUCACACUGUGACGGUAGCUUACCAGAAAGGGACGGCUAACUACGUGCCAGCAGCCGCGGUAAUACGUAGGUCCCGAGCGUUGUCCGGAUUUAUUGGGCGUAAAGCGAGCGCAGGCGGUUUGAUAAGUCUGAAGUUAAAGGCUGUGGCUCAACCAUAGUUCGCUUUGGAAACUGUCAAACUUGAGUGCAGAAGGGGAGAGUGGAAUUCCAUGUGUAGCGGUGAAAUGCGUAGAUAUAUGGAGGAACACCGGUGGCGAAAGCGGCUCUCUGGUCUGUAACUGACGCUGAGGCUCGAAAGCGUGGGGAGCGAACAGGAUUAGAUACCCUGGUAGUCCACGCCGUAAACGAUGAGUGCUAGGUGUUGGAUCCUUUCCGGGAUUCAGUGCCGAAGCUAACGCAUUAAGCACUCCCGCCUGGGGAGUACGACCGCAAGGUUGAA